AGGCCACGCCUCCUGCGGCGACAGACGCUCCCUUUACGUCUCCUCCACCACCACCACCACUGAAACUAGACCGCCACACGUCAAUACGGCCAGAACGACCUCAAGAUAGUUUUUAACACUCACCGGCUUCUCAACGAAUUGGCGGGGAGCCCCGCCUCUCUUUUACACCUGGAUCCGAAUCUCAGCCCUAAAGAUGAGGAAACAGGAGCACAGAGAGGUUAAGGAACUUGCUCAAGGUCACACAGCUUGUAAGUGAAAGAGGCACAAUGUGAACUCAAGCAAUGCUGCUCUCAGUCUGGGAGAACAGGAAACGUUACUCCUCUGUGCUCCACAUUUUGGGAAACAGUGACCUUGCCAGACCUUCAUAUCCUCACCAAGCCUCAUAUUUAUGAGCUCCAGAGACAGCAUAGGGUCUGAAAAUGUCCAAGAGAGAAGAGAUCAUCAGAGUCAAUUCCUCCAUUCAGUGACCUCUGAGUCACAGAGAAGGGGAGGGAUCUUCCCAUGCCCCCAAGAGUGGUUCAGAGAGAAACUAGCACCUAGAUCUCCAGGUUCUGGUUGAGUGGAUAGUGUUUCUAAGUGCUCACACAGCCUUUGAGAGAGAGGGAGCACAAGGUGCCCAGAGCUCCUUGGAAACUGAUGGAAGCCCCUAAGCCUUGCUUGCACCUGCUUGGACCAGAGGCGGCAGCACUGGGUCCUGUAGUCCUCCUCAGGACCUGGAAGCCCUCCCUGGCCCCCUGCCUGCACUGAGUGCCUCAUAAGGACCGGCAAGCCUUCACUUCCAUCCUCCAUAGCAGAGAAAUGAAAGCCAGUCGGUCCUCAAACAGAAAAAUAUAUAAAUGAAUGAAUGAAUAAGAAUUCCACAAAAACUGCAAAAACAGGCUCGCUUCCCACAUACUGCAGACUCAGUUCCAGACCACCAUGAUAAAGUAAGCGAAAUGCAUUUUUUGGUUUCCCAGGGCAUAUAGAAAUGAUGUUACACAAUACUGUAGUCUAGUGCGUGUGCAACAGCAUCGUGCCUGAAAUAGCCAUGGACAUACCUUAAUGUAAAAGUACUUGAUUGCUAAAAAAUGCCAACCGGCAUUGGGUUUUCAGUAAGUUGUCAUCUUUUUCUUUUUUUUUUAUAAUGAUUUUAUUUAUUUAUUUGAGAGAGAGAGAGCGCAAGCAUGAGAGGAGAGAGAUCAGCAGGAGAAGCAGACUCCCUGCCGAGCAGGGAGUCUGAUGUGGGACUCGAUCCCAGGACUCCAGGAUCAUGGAGUCUAAGGCAGUCGCUUAACCAACUGAGCCACCCAGGCACCCCUUGUCAUCUUUUUCUUGAUGGAAAGUCCUGCCUCCAUGGUGAUGGCUGCUGACCGAUGGCCAGCCACGACUCGGGUGGCUGUGGCAGUUUCUUAAAAUAAGGCCACAGGGAAGCUUGCCUCAUCCAUUGGCUCUGCCUUUCACAGACCAUUUCUCUGUAGCAUGCAGUGCUGUUUGUUAGCAUUUGAAACACAGUAGGACUUCUUUCAAAAUGGGAUUUCGUCCUCUCAAGUGCUGCCACUGCUUUAUCAGCUCGUUUUCAAUAAUACUCUCCGCCCUUUGUGGUCAUUUCAAGUCUUCACGGCAUCUUCACCACAACUACAUUCCAGCUCAGGAAACCAUGCUUUGUGCUCAUCCAUUAGAAGUAACUCCUCAACUGUUCAAGUUUCAGCAUCAGGUUGGAGCAAUUCAGUCCCAUUGUCAGGCUCCACUUCUGAUUCAAGCUCUUUGGCUGUUUCCAUCACACCUGCGGUUACUUCCUCCACCGACGUCUUGAACCCUCAGUCAUCCAUGAGGGUUGGAAUCCACAGCUUCCAGACUCCUGUUCAUGUUCAUAUUUUGAUCUCUUCCCAUGAGCCACAGAUGUUUUUAAUGGCAUCUACAAUGGUAAACCCUUUCCAGAAGGUUUUCAGUUUAUUUUGCCCAGAUGCAUCAGAGGACUCACUGUCUGUGGCAGCUGUAGUCUUUUAAAAAUGUAUUUCUUAAAGAAUAAGCUCAAAAGUAAAAAUGACUAGGGCACCUGGGUGGCACAGUCGUUAAACAUUUCCACUCAGGUGGUGAUCUCAGGGUCAUGAGAUCCAGUUCCGCGUUGGGCCCUGCACUCAACCUGAAGUCGGCUUGUCCUGCUCCUCUGCACCCUUUCUCUCUCUCUUUCUCUCCCUCAAAUAAAUAAAUAAAUAAAUAUUUUAAAAAGUCAAAAUUUCUCCUUGGCCCAUGGGCUGCAGAAUGGAUGUUGUGACAGCAGGUAUGAAAACAACAUUAAUCUCAUGGCACAUCCCAUCAGAGCUCUUGGGUGACCGUGUGCCUUGUCAACAAGCAAUAUUUUUUUAAGAUUCUAUUGAUUUAUUUGUCACAGAGACAGAGACAGACAAAGAGCACAAGCAGGGGGAGCGACAGGCAGAGGCAGAAGCAGGCUCCCCACCGAGCAAGGAACCUGAUGGACUCAAUCCCAGGACCCUGGGACCAUGACCUGAGCCAAAGGCAGAUGCUCAACUAGUUGAUCCACCCAGGCAAAGUGUCCCAAGCAGUAAUAUGUUGAGAGGAAUCUUUCUCUUCUUUCUUUCUUCCUUCUUUCUCUUUUGGAGCAGUAAGUCUCAAACAGUGGACUUAAAAUAUUUAGUAAACCAUCCUACAAACAUGUGCUAUCAUCUAGACUUUGUUGUUCCCUUUCUAGAGCACAGACUGAGUAGAUUUAGCAUAAUUCUUAAGGACCUUAGGAUUUUCCAAGUGGUAAAUAAGCAUUGGCUUCAACUUGAUCCCCAGCCGCAUUAGCCCCCAACAAGAGAGUCAGCCUGUCCUUCAAAGCUUUGCAGCCGGGCAUUGACUUCUCUCUCUGAAAGUCCUGGGUGACAUCUUGGCUGUCUCAUGUGCACUGACAGUCUGCUGAGUAGGGUCACCACCUUCAUGAAUCAGCCUCUUCCCGGUCCCUUGCUGAGGCUUCUACGUCAGCACCUACCAUUUCACAGGCACUUUCAGGUUAUGAAGUUGGUUUCUUUCCUUGAACCUCAUGAGCCAACCUCCGCUGGCCUCAGACUUUGCUUCUGUAGCUUCCCUGGAUCUCUGAGCCUUCACAGAAUUCAAGAGAGUUAGAGCCUUGCUCUGGACUAGCCUUUGGAUUAAAGGAACAUGGUGGUUUGAUCUUCUACCCAGAGCACUCAGACUUAGUCCCUAUCAGCAAGAAGGCAGUUUCGCUUUCUUUGUUCACUAGACUAGCACUUUCAUUUCCUUUGCAUCACAGGUCGACUAACUGGCACAAGAGGCCUUGCCUCCAGCCUCUCUCUACCUGCAACCUGCCUUCCUCACUAAGCUUGGUCGUCCUUCCUUUGGCUUUUAGGUGAGAGAUGUGUGACUCUUCCUUUCACUUGAAGACUUAGAAGUUAUUGUAGGGUUGUUAAUCGGCCUAAUUUCAAUAUGUUGUGUCUCCGGGAACAGGGAGGUCCGAGGAGAGGAGAGAGAUGGGGCACCAUCUGGUCAGUGGAGCUGGGAGAACACACACAUUUAUUAAUUUGACCUACUACUAUGGGCGCAGUUCAUGGCACCCCAAUACAAUUACAGUAGUAGCAUCAAAGAUCACUGACCACAGAUCAUCAUAAUAAAUACCAUGCUGGUGAAGUUUGAAAUAUGGCUGGAACUACCAAAAACUGACACAGAGAUGUGACAUGAGCAAACGCUGUUAGAACACCAGUGCCAGCAGCCUGUCUCGACCCAGGAUUGCCACACACCUUCAAUUUGUAGAAAGUGCAACGUCUACAAAGUGUGGGAAAAGGAAGCACCAAAAAGCUAUGUGAAAUCAAAUGAGGUGCCUGUGCUAAGUUUCUGGUAGUUCUUAGUGAUUUAUGAAUCAUCUGAUUCCCAAAUCUAAAAGAAAAAUGGAAGCAUUCUACAAAAAUUUUAACGUGCUUAAUAUGAACUUUAAAAUACAAAUGGAGGACCCCUGGGUGGCUCAGUGGGUUAAUGAUCUCAUGGUCCUGGGAUCCCUCCUCACACCAGAAGGCCUGCUUCUCCCUCUCCCACUCCCACUCCCCCCUGCUUGUAUUCUUUCUCUUGCUAUCUCAUUCUGUCAAAUAAAUAAAAUCCUUUUUAAAAAAGAGUAGAUAAUCAAAUUAAUACAUAAAAUCUUUUUUAAAAAGAGUAGAUAAUCAUGAACACACGGCAUCUAAAAAUUUGCCCAAAUUUUAUUCUUAUACACUAACAAUGAAAAUACAGAGAGGGAAAUUAGAGAAUCGAUUCCAUUUACUAUAGCACCAAGUACCAUAAGAUACCUGGGAAUAAACCUAACCAAAGAGGUAAAGGAUCUGUACUUGAGGAACUACAGAAAAAUCAUGAAAGAAAUUGAAGAAGACACAAAAAGAUGGAAGACCAUUCCAUGCUCUUGGAUCAGAAGAAUAAACAUUGUUAAAAUGUCUAUACUGCCUAGAGCAAUCUACACUUUUUAUGCCAUUCUGAUCAAAAUUCCACGCUGUUAGAACACCAGUGCCAGCAGCCUGUCUCGACCCAGGAUUGCCACACACCUUCAAUUUGUAGAAAGUGCAAAGUCUACAAAGUUGACUUUGUAGUUAACUUUUUUCAAAGAGUUGGAGCAAAUAAUAGUAAAAUUUUUUGGAGUCAGAAGAGACCCCAAAUUGCUAAGGAAAUAUGAAAAACAAAAAUAAAACUGGCAGGGGCGCCUGGGUGGCUCAGUGGGUUAAGCUUCUGCCUUCGGCUCAGGUCAUGAUCUCUGGGUCCUGGGAUCAAGCCCCAUAUUGGGCUCUCUGCUUGGCAGUGAGCCUACUUCCUCCUCUCUCUCUCUGCCUGCUUCUCUAACUACUUGUGAUCUCUGUCAAAUAAAUAAAUAAAAACCUUUAAAAAUAAAUAAAUAAAUAAAAACUG